rnacentral:rRNA from 1 species
UGGGGAAUAUUGGACAAUGGGCGAAAGCCUGAUCCAGCCAUGCCGCGUGCGUGAAGAAGGUCUUCGGAUUGUAAAGCACUUUAAGUUGGGAGGAAGGGCAGUAAGCGAAUACCUUGCUGUUUUGACGUUACCGACAGAAUAAGCACCGGCUAACUCUGUGCCAGCAGCCGCGGUAAUACAGAGGGUGCAAGCGUUAAUCGGAAUUACUGGGCGUAAAGCGCGCGUAGGUGGUUCGUUAAGUUGAAUGUGAAAGCCCCGGGCUCAACCUGGGAACUGCAUCCAAAACUGGCGAGCUAGAGUAGGGCAGAGGGUGGUGGAAUUUCCUGUGUAGCGGUGAAAUGCGUAGAUAUAGGAAGAAACACCAGUGGCGAAGGCGACCACCUGGGCUCAUACUGACACUGAGGUGCGAAAGCGUGGGGAGCAAACAGG